UACGGAGGGAGCUAGCGUUGUUCGGAAUUACUGGGCGUAAAGCGCACGUAGGCGGCUUUGUAAGUUAGAGGUGAAAGCCCGGGGCUCAACUCCGGAACUGCCUUUAAGACUGCAUCGCUUGAAUCCAGGAGAGGUGAGUGGAAUUCCGAGUGUAGAGGUGAAAUUCGUAGAUAUUCGGAAGAACACCAGUGGCGAAGGCGGCUCACUGGACUGGUAUUCACGCUGAGGUGCGAAAGCGUGGGGAGCAAACAGG
rnacentral:rRNA from 1 species